UGGCCCUACGGGGGGCAGCAGUAGGGAAUCUUCGUCAAUGGGCGCAAGCCUGAACGAGCAAUGCCGCGUGAACGAGGAAGGUCUUCGGAUCGUAAAGUUCUGUUGAAGGGGAAAAAGAGCGGAGAGAGGAAAUGGUCUCCGAUUGAUAUUACCCUUCGAGGAAGUCACGGCUAACUACGUGCCAGCAGCCGCGGUAAUACGUAGGUGGCGAGCGUUAUCCGGAAGGAUUGGGGGUAAAGGGGGCGUAGGCGGCCUGCUAAGUCUGGAGUGAAAGGCACCGGCUCAAC
rnacentral:rRNA from 1 species